UAUAUAUCAUACCUUGAUAUAUAUAUCUGUGGUGUGUGUGUAUCUGAGAAUAUGAAUAUAUAUAUGAUUGUUUGUUUAUUUAUUUAUUUAUUUAUUUACGCACCAGGAAGAGGACAUCAGAUCCCAUUACAGAUGGUUGUGAACCACCAUGUGGUUGCUGGGAAUUGAACUCAGGUCCUCUAGAAAAGCAGUCAGUGCUCUUAACCGCUGAGCCAUCUCUCCAGCCCAUGAGGAAUUUUCUUUGUCAGAUUAUUUGAGGCAAGAAGGCCCACCCUGAAUCCAGGCCACAUUUCUAGUGGCAGCACACAUAAAGGGCACAGGAGAAGGAAACUUUGCUCUUUGCCUGCCUGCCCUUGCUCUCCUGGGCAAGCUCAUCUAUCUGGUUGCUACUGGUAUUAAAUCCAGCUUCUUUAGGUUCUCAACACAGACUGAAAGCCAGAAGCUCUCCAGACCCUCCAGGACUCCAGUACCAGAUCAGAAUGGCAGAGACAUCCAGCCUCCUGGACUGAAUGACUACCAGAGUAUCAGCCCUUCCACCAAGAGAGUCAUCGUGAGAGAGACCACAGCCUGUGGUGCCAUCCGUGAGCCCGAGGCUCCUUAUGGUAUGAGAAAUCAGACUGAGCAAGCCAUGGAGAGCAAUCCAAAUCCAGUGUCUGCGGAUCCACAGCUCCGUGGGUAAAAGCACUGACUGCUCUUGCAGAGGCCCGGGAUUCAUUCACAGCACCCAGUUCCAGAGGAUCCUCACCCUCUUCUGACCCCCACGGGCACCAGACACACAGGCAGUGCAGAUGCACACAGAGAAAAACAUACACAUAAAGUAAAAAUAAAUAAAUCUUCGAAAUCUUAUGUGUGAUAUGUAUGUGCAUGAGAGAUACAUGUGUUAUAUAUGUAUGUCUUUGUAGCAUGGGGAGAAUAAAGGACAACCCCAA